AUUUUUCAACUUGAAGAGUAUAAAAGCAUCAAAUGAAUAGUUUCAAGCAUCAUACAUUUUUAGAGUGUUCAUCUAAGAGUCAAUACCAUGGGAAAAACAAUUAUCUUACUUUUGGUCGUUUGUAUGCUGAUUGGUGCAUCGGUAUCCACGCCAGUAAUGGCAACUGAAGCUGGCCCUAAAUCCUUCGGCAUGACGCAAGGUGCUGCACAUAGAGGUCCACCACCAUCUGGUGGAGGUGGCGGCGGUGGUGCCGGUGGCAGUGGUGGUCCUCCACCUCCACCAACUACGGAAGCUUCAUCACGUUAAAAGGUUCAAGAAAAAAGGACAGAAUAAUAAUUUCAUUCAUUAAUGAAACUUCACUUCGAAGUUUUAAAUUAAAUUGCAAUAAAAAAAAGUACUAAAAUACAAAAAUUUAA